CGCCUUGCCAGCCCGCUCAGAAACUUAAAGGAAUUGACGGGGGCCCGCACAAGCGGUGGAGUAUGUGGUUUAAUUCGAUGCAACGCGAAGAACCUUACCUGGUCUUGACAUCCCGGAGACCCUUAGGAAACUAGGGGGUGCUUCCAUCUGGAAGAAUCUGGAGACAGGUGCUGCAUGGCUGUCGUCAGCUCGUGUCGUGAGAUGUUGGGUUAAGUCCCGCAACGAGCGCAACCCUUGCCUUUAGUUGCCAGCAGUUCGGCUGGGCACUCUAAAGGGACUGCCGGUGUUAAACCGGAGGAAGGUGGGGAUGACGUCAAGUCCUCAUGGCCUUUAUGACCAGGGCUACACACGUACUACAAUGGCCGAUACAAAGGGCAGCGACACUGCGAGGUGAAGCCAAUCCCGUAAAAUCGGUCUCAGUCCGGAUUGGAGUCUGCAACUCGACUCCAUGAAGUUGGAAUCGCUAGUAAUCGUGGAUCAGCAUGCCACGGUGAAUACGUUCCCGGGCCUU
rnacentral:rRNA from 1 species